AGUGCUUGCACUAAAUGAAACUAGAUACAAGCGAGCGGCGGACGGGUGAGUAACACGUGGGUAACCUGCCCAAGAGACUGGGAUAACACCUGGAAACAGAUGCUAAUACCGGAUAACAACACUAGACGCAUGUCUAGAGUUUGAAAGAUGGUUCUGCUAUCACUCUUGGAUGGACCUGCGGUGCAUUAGCUAGUUGGUAAGGUAACGGCUUACCAAGGCAAUGAUGCAUAGCCGAGUUGAGAGACUGAUCGGCCACAUUGGGACUGAGACACGGCCCAAACUCCUACGGGAGGCAGCAGUAGGGAAUCUUCCACAAUGGACGAAAGUCUGAUGGAGCAACGCCGCGUGAGUGAAGAAGGGUUUCGGCUCGUAAAGCUCUGUUGGUAGUGAAGAAAGAUAGAGGUAGUAACUGGCCUUUAUUUGACGGUAAUUACUUAGAAAGUCACGGCUAACUACGUGCCAGCAGCCGCGGUAAUACGUGGGUGGCAAGCGUUGUCCGGAUUUAUUGGGCGUAAAGCGAGUGCAGGCGGUUCAAUAAGUCUGAUGUGAAAGCCUUCGGCUCAACCGGAGAAUUGCAUCAGAAACUGUUGAACUUGAGUGCAGAAUAGGAGAGUGGAACUCCAUGUGUAGCGGUGGAAUGCGUAGAUAUAUGGAAGAACACCAGU
rnacentral:rRNA from 1 species